CAAACGACGGGUUAAGGGGCCCGAUGCAGGACGCUCAUGAGAACCCAUGAAAGGUGUUGGUUGCUAUAGACAGCAGGACGGUGGCCAUGGAAGUCGGAAUCCGCUAAGGAGUGUGUAACAACUCACCUGCCGAAGCAACUAGCCCUGAAAAUGGAUGGCGCUUCAGCGUCGACCCCAUACCCGUCCGCCGCGGCGGAGAUGCGAUCGCAUUAUGCCGCGGCGAGUAGGAGGGCGCGGGGGCGCGCGUGGAAGGUGCCGGGCGUAAGCCCGCCUGGAGCCGCCCCCGGUGCAGAUCUUGGUGGUAGUAGCAAAUACUCAAGUGAGAACCUUGAGGACUGAGGUGGAGAAGGGUUCCAUGUKAACAGCASUUGAACAUGGGUCAGUCGGUCCUAAGGGAUGUCCGAAAGGAUUUCCGAAGGGGAGAUCUUAACUCCUUAUAGUUCUGGUCUCCCCAACGACCGAAAGGGAAUCGGGUUAAUAUUCCCGAACCCGGACACGGAGAUCGGCCCCCUCGGGGGCACGUGCGGUAACGCAAACGACCUCGGAGACGUCGACGGGGGUCCCGGAAAGAGUUGUCUUUUCUUUGUAAGGGUUCGGCCGCCUGGAAUCGCAUCGCGCGGAGAUAGGCACGCUGAACCCGUAAAGCACCGCGCCUCUUGUGGUGUCCGGAGCGCUCC
rnacentral:rRNA from 1 species